GGUCUUGUAGUGUAAUUUUAACACGUUAAGUUGUAAACUUGAAGAUAUAAAGUUAAGGCUU
rnacentral:tRNA from 1 species